AGGCAGCAGUAAGGAAUAUUGGUCAAUGGGCGCAAGCCUGAACCAGCCAUGCCGCGUGCAGGAAGACGGCCCUACGGGUUGUAAACUGCUUUUAUACCGGAAUAAACCUUUCUAUGUAUAGGAAGCUGAAUGUACGGUAAGAAUAAGGAUCGGCUAACUCCGUGCCAGCAGCCGCGGUAAUACGGAGGAUCCAAGCGUUAUCCGGAUUUAUUGGGUUUAAAGGGUGCGUAGGUGGUUCUUUAAGUCAGGGGUGAAAGACGGUAGCUUAACUAUCGCAGUGCCUUUGAUACUGAAGAACUUGAAUACACUAGAGGUAGGCGGAAUGUGACAAGUAGCGGUGAAAUGCAUAGAUAUGUCACAGAACACCAAUUGCGAAGGCAGCUUACUAUGGUGUCAUUGACACUGAGGCACGAAAGCGUGGGGAUCAAACAGGAUUAGAUACCCUGGUAGUCCACGCCCUAAACGAUGAAUACUCGAUGUUGGCGAUAUACGGUCAGCGUCUAAGCGAAAGCGUUAAGUAUUCCACCUGGGGAGUACGCCCGCAAGGGUGAAACUCAA
rnacentral:rRNA from 1 species